UACGUAGGAUCCGAGCGUUAUCCGGAGUGACUGGGCGUAAAGAGUUGCGUAGGCGGUUAGUUAAGUGAAUAGUGAAACCUGGUGGCUCAACCAUACAGACUAUUAUUCAAACUGGCUAACUCGAGAAUAGCAGAGGUAACUGGAAUUUCUUGUGUAGGAGUGAAAUCCGUAGAUAUAAGAAGGAACACCAAUGGCGUAGGCAGGUUACUGGGCUAUUUCUGACGCUAAGGCACGAAAGCGUGGGGAGCGAACCGG
rnacentral:rRNA from 1 species